CACGUAGGGUCCGAGCGUUGUCCGGAAUUACUGGGCGUAAAGCGUGCGCAGGCGGUCUGGUCAGUCGAUGGUGAAAGCCCCACGCUCAACGUGGGAAGGUCCGUCGAGACGGCCAGACUGGAGGCAGGGAGAGGCCGGUGGAAUUCCGGGUGUAGUGGUGAAAUGCGUAGAGAUCCGGAGGAACACCAGAGGCGAAGGCGGCCGGCUGGACCUGACCUGACGCUGAGGCACGAAGGCGUGGGGAGCGAACGGG
rnacentral:rRNA from 1 species